rnacentral:rRNA from 1 species
ACCACACCCGUCGCCACUGGAUCCGGUGUGGCAUCUCCUGAUUCCUCUCCAGGAUCUUCUGCAACCAGCAAUGCCGUGCGCCAGCGUGUACAGCAGCCUCCACUAAUCACAUCAAGAGUUACAACUCGGCUACAAAAAGGUAUUAAGAAUCCAAAAAUCAGAACUGAUGGCACUAUUCUGUAUGGCAUGUUGUGUGUUUCAGGCGAGCCAACAAAAUUGGAUGAUGCACUUGGAGAUCAUAAGUGGAAAAAGGCUAUGGAUGAGGAAUAUACAGCCUUGAUGAGAAACAAAACAUGGCAUCUGGUGCCAAACAGGAAAGGUAAAAAUAUUAUUGAUUGUAAAUGUGUGUAUAGGAUCAAGAAAAAGGCAGAUGGCUCCAUUGACAGGUAUAAAGCAUGUCUCGUUGCUAAAGGUUUUAAGCAGCAUUAUGGUACUGAUUAUGAGGAUACAUUUAGCCCUGGGUAA